rnacentral:rRNA from 1 species
ACUGCUCAGUAACACGUGGACAACNUACCCUGUGGAGGGGGAUAACCCCGGAAAACUGGGGAUAAUACCCCAUAGGUUAGGGUGGCUGGAAUGCCCCCUAGCUCAAAGGUCCGCCGCCACAGGAUGGGUCUGCGGCCGAUUAGGUUGUUGUUGGGGUAACGGCCCAACAAGCCUUUGAUCGGUACGGGUUGUGGGAGCAAGAGCCCGGAGAUGGAUUCUGAGACACGAAUCCAGGCCCUACGGGGCGCAGCAGGCGCGAAAACUUUACAAUGCGAGAAAUCGUGAUAAGGGAACCCCGAGUGCCCGUAAAUUCGGGCUGUCCGCCAGUGCAAAAAACUGGUGAAGAAAGAGCCGGGCAAGACCGGUGCCAGCCGCCGCGGUAAUACCGGCGGCUCGAGUGGUGGCCACUAUUACUGGGCUUAAAGCGUCCGUAGCUUGGUUGUUAAGUCUCCUGGGAAAUCCAUCGGCUCAACCGAUGGGCGUUCAGGAGAUACUGGCAACCUAGGGACCGGGAGAGGUGAGAGGUACUCCAGGGGUAGGAGUGAAAUCCUGUAAUCCUUGGGGGACCACCUGUGGCGAAGGCGUCUCACUAGAACGGCUCCGACAGUGAGGGACGAAAGCUGGGGGAGCAAACCGGAUUAGAUACCCGGGUAGUCCCAGCUGUAAACGAUGCGCGUUAGGUGUAUCGGUGACCACGAGUCACCGAGGUGCCGAAGGGAAACCGUGAAACGUGCCGCCUGGGAAGUACGGUCGCAAGGCUGAAACUUAAAGGAAUUGGCGGGGGAGCAC